rnacentral:rRNA from 1 species
GACGUAGGUGGCGAACGUUAUCCGGAAUUAUUGGGCGUAAAGGGUGCGUAGCUGGCUUGACAAGUUAGUGGUGGGAAAUCGAGGCUCAACCUCGUGGAAGUCACUAAUACUAUCAAACUAGAGUGCAGGAGAGGUUAAUGGAACUCCAUGUGUAGCGGUAAAAUGCGACGAUAUAUGGAUGAACACCAAUAAAGGCGAAGGCAGUUAACUAUUCUGCUACUGACAUUGAGGGCACGAAAGCGUGGGGAGCAAAACGG